rnacentral:ncRNA from 2 species
CUAAAGCUCAGCCGUCACGGUUCUUCCGCUCCUCCCGGGUGCGGAAGCUAAGAGGGAAUCCGGUGCGCCGUCCGCGGCAAGGCCGGAGCUGCCCCCGCAACUGUCGGCGGUGAGCCUCUCCCGUUCGCGCCACUGGACCCGCAAGGGUUCCGGGAAGGCCGGGCCGAGGCGACGACCCGCGAGCCAGGAGACCUGCCGCGACGCAUCAUGGUCC